rnacentral:rRNA from 1 species
UACGUAGGUGGCAAGCGUUGUCCGGAAUUAUUGGGCGUAAAGCGCGCGCAGGCGGUCCUUUAAGUCUGAUGUGAAAGCUCACGGCUCAACCGUGGAGGGUCAUUGGAAACUGGGGGACUUGAGUGCAGAAGAGGAAAGUGGAAUUCCACGUGUAGCGGUGAAAUGCGUAGAGAUGUGGAGGAACACCAGUGGCGAAGGCGACUUUCUGGUCUGUAACUGACGCUGAGGCGCGAAAGCGUGGGGAGCAAACAGGAUUAGAAACCCUAGUAGUCC